rnacentral:rRNA from 1 species
CAACGCCCGGAACCUUACCGGAAGCGACAGCAGAGUGAAGGCCAGAAUGAAGAUCUUGCCAGACGAGCUGAGAGGAGGUGCAUGGCCGUCGCCAGUUCGUGCCGUGAGGUGUUCUCUUAAGUGAGAUAACGAACGAGACCCGUGCCACAUGUUGCCAUCAGAAUCUAAAGGAUUGCUGGGCACUUCUUGUGGGACCGCAGCCGAUAAGGCUGAGGAAGGGGCGGGCAACGGCAGGUCAGUAUGCCCCGAAUCUUCCGGGCCACACGCGGGCUGCAAUGGUAUGGACAGAGGGCUGCCACCCCGAAAGGGGGAGCCAAUCCCUAAACCAUACCUCAGUUGGGAUUGAGGGCUGCAACCCGCCCUCAUGAACAUGGAAUGCCUAGUAACUGCCAGUCAUCAUCUGGCGGUGAAUACGUCCCUGCUCCUUGCACACACUGCCCGUCGAACCACCCGAAUGAGGUUUGGGUGAGGAAUGGUCGAAUGUUGGCCGUUUCGAACCUGGGCCUCGUAAGGAGGGUUAAGUCGUAACAAGGUAGCCUCAUCAGUCAA